rnacentral:rRNA from 1 species
AGUGAACGCUGGCGGUAGGCCUAACACAUGCAAGUCGAACGGCAGCACGGUAAGAGCUUGCUCUUACGGGUGGCGAGUGGCGGACGGGUGGGGAAUACAUCGGAAUCUACUUUUUCGUGGGGGAUAACGUAGGGAAACUUACGCUAAUACCGCAUACGACCUACGGGUGAAAGCAGGGGAUCUUCGGACCUUGCGCGAUUGAAUGAGCCGAUGUCGGAUUAGCUAGUUGGCGGGGUAAAGGCCCACCAAGGCGACGAUCCGUAGCUGGUCUGAGAGGAUGAUCAGCCACACUGGAACUGAGACACGGUCCAGACUCCUACGGGAGGCAGCAGUGGGGAAUAUUGGACAAUGGGCGCAAGCCUGAUCCAGCCAUACCGCGUGGGUGAAGAAGGCCUUCGGGUUGUAAAGCCCUUUUGUUGGGAAAGAAAAGCAGCAGGUUAAUACCCCGCUGUUCUGACGGUACCCAAAGAAUAAGCACCGGCUAACUUCGUG